UACGAACUGCGCGAACGUUAUUCGGAAUCACUGGGCUUACAGGGUGCGUAGGCGGCUGUUCAGGUCCGAUGUGAAAUCCCCCAGCUCAACUGGGGAAUGGCAUUGGAAACCGAACGGCUGGAGUGAGCUAGAGGUGCACGGAACUUCCGGUGGAGCGGUGAAAUGUGUUGAGAUCGGAAGGAACACCAGAGGCGAAGGCGGUGCACUGGGGCUUGUCUGACGCUGAGGCACGAAAGCCAGGGGAGCGAACGGG
rnacentral:rRNA from 1 species